AACUUUCGACAAUGGAUCUCUUGGCUCUCGCAUCGAUGUAGAACGCAGCGAAAUGCGAUAAGUAAUGUGAAUUGCAGAAUUCAGUGAAUCAUCGAAUCUUUGAACGCACCUUGCGCUCCUUGGUAUUCCGAGGAGCAUGCCUGUUUGAGUGUCAUGAAAUUCUCAACCUUAUCAACUUUUAUUGGUUGAUUAGGCUUGGAUGUGGGAGCUUGCAGGCUUUUUCUUAAGAAGUCGGCUCUCCUUAAAUUUAUUAGCGUGACCUUUUUGGUUGCCCCAGCCCUAGUGUGAUAAUUAUCUACGCUAUUGCUGAAGUGACUUGGUUACAGCUUCUAAUCGUCUCUCGAAGACAAUUUUAUAUGACAAUUUGACCUCAAAUCAGGUAGGACUACCCGCUGAACUUAAGCAUAUCAAUAAGCGGAGGCU
rnacentral:misc_RNA from 1 species